rnacentral:rRNA from 1 species
CGAACGCUGGCGGCGUGCUUUAUACAUGCAAGUCGAACGAUGAAGUUCCUUCGGGAAUGGAUUAGUGGCGAACGGGUGAGGAACACGUGAGAAACCUGCCUUUCAUUCUGGGAUAACACCGGGAAACCGGUGCUAAUACCGGAUGCUCCAUCUUGGCGGCAUCGCCGAGCUGGGAAAAAUUUUGAUGAAAGAUGGUCUCGCGGCCUAUCAGCUAGUUGGUGAGGUAAAGGCUCACCAAGGCGACGACGGGGUAGCCGGCCUGAGAGGGCGACCGGCCACACCGGGACUGAGACACGGCCCAGACUCCUACGGGAGACAGCAGUAGGGAAUAUUGGGCAAUGGGCGAAAGCCUGACCCAGCGACGCCGCAUGAGGGAUGAAGGUCUUCGGAUUGUAAACCGUCUUUCAGCAGGGACGAAGCGAAGUGACAGUACCUGCAGAAGAAGCACCGGCUAACCUAUGUGCCAGCAG